rnacentral:rRNA from 1 species
UAAACGACUCUCGGCAACGGAUAUCUCGGCUCUCGCAUCGAUGAAGAACGUAGCGAAAUGCGAUACUUGGUGUGAAUUGCAGAAUCCCGUGAACCAUCGAGUUUUUGAACGCAAGUUGCGCCCGAAACCAUUAGGUCGAGGGCACGCCUGCCUGGGCGUCACAC